UGGUGCGUGCGCGUGUCAGUGCAACAGGUGUCGCGAUAUUUUACCUUUCUUGCCUGUUUCUUAACGACCUUGAAGUUUGCGAAUAUUAUGUUUUUUAAUGAUACCACCGUAAAACCGUAAAACAAAAAACGAGUGAAUUUUCUUCACAUGAUCUAUCAUUUUUUAAUGACUGUAUUGUGUCAUUAGGAAGUGUUGUGCUAUCGUUGAAACACGAACGAGAUAAUUUGCAUAUAAAUACCUUUAAAAUACCAUAAGAAAAAGAAGAAGAAGAAGAGGGGACAAUGUUGUCAUUGAUGAUAGUGAUGAAAGACGGUUAAGAAAUCAACGUGUUUGACCGAUGACACGAAUUGCAUUGGUGUUCGUCGAAAAGGAAUCAACGUGCGAGCCCUUUUUCAUUUCAACUUGGACAACUUUUAAUUAAUCAUUCGUUACAGUCUACUCAAAGAGGUCGAGGCAUCGUGAUUAAUAUGAAAACACGAUGACGUCUUUGGUUCAAAGAGAUUUCGAGUCUCCAAGAAAGAGGGAAUCCACUGGUAGCAAUGCAUCCAGUUAUUUACUUCUACUUAAUUCUCUGGCGACUGAUUUGGACUGCAUGCUGAGCGAGCUCUGCACGACCCCAGAUUCCUACGAACG